AUGACUCAUACGUGCAGAUGGAAUCCACUGUGCUGUCCGGAUUGGUCCCUGUGUAAGUUCCGCUCCGUUUCUUGGAUACAUUCACUCCAACACUGCCCAGCUUUUGGGAGCCGAGAGAUCUGGGAGGGAACACCUUGAUGCUGAAAGGUUGAGAGAGCAUGAAGUCAUCUGAUGUGUCUGAAAAGAUGAAUACAACAUAUUAAUAUUGCAGCUGUCACCCCAAGAAGAGUGAGAAUACUUACUAGUGGUGAGAGACUGGAGAUCAUUGUGAAUCCUGUAGAUCAAGCCCUUGCUCUCUGACUUCAUUGCAUGUCCCCACAGAGUACUGUUACAAUCUGGGAUAUCUCCUGAUAUGAGAGAGAAAAAGAAAAAAAAAAAUCAACAAUGUGGGUAAGUCCACCUGCCCUUCCUCUUGGGUGAGUGUUUACCCUCAGCUUUGCUAUAAGAAGAUAUAUGGGUUCCUAGAAAUCAGUGCCCUCUGUAAAAUUAUACAAAACGGCAGCAGCAGCAACAACAACAACAACGGA
rnacentral:lncRNA from 1 species